rnacentral:lncRNA from 1 species
UAGCAGAUGCUCUUCAAUAAGUGAUAUGUGAUGAUAUACCAUAUUAAUGAUAAUAUCACGAUCCUAUCAGUACAUUAAUCUCAUAUUGAAGAGGUUCAACAUGGAUGGGUGUAAACGUUUAUUUACCUAUGUAUGUUAUAUAGCAAGCCUGAUGUGGCUUAUACUUUGUGCAUUAGUUUUUAGAUAGAUCCAGAAAAAGAUCAUUGAAAAAUUAUGAAAAGCAUUCUCAAAUACUUGAGAAGUACUAAAGAAGUAGUAAAUUGGAAGGAUUCUAAACAGCAAAACUAUAGUUGAUUCAGUAUACUGCUGCAAGUGAAAAUUGCUAAGAAAAGUCAUCUGAUAAAAGAGUUCAUCAUUGAGUUGGAUGUGGUGCCAUCAAAAAUCCAUGCACAUUUUAAGACACUUUCAUCUUAUUCAUGAUGUAAUCAUAGAGUGAGUUGAUAUAAAGAACUAUAUUAUGGACCAGAUCACUAAGUCUUGAUACAGUAGCAGUGUAUUCACCAUCUUGAUUGUAUGGACAUCAGAUACAGAGGGGAUUGGUUUUAGUGCAAGUGGAAGAUUGAAAAAAUAUUUGUUGAAAAAUAUACCCCAAAGCCAAUCGUCAGCCUAUUGAUGAUUGUGCUUAUCUUAUAAAUUAUAUAUAAAUUUUUAUUAAUAAAAAUUAUUUGAUAUUUUUAUUAUAAAUUAUCCAUGUUUGAACUCUUGCAUUGUAAUGAAGUUCUUAGGACUAUAAUUAAUCAACAAAGGAGGAUUUAUCGUUAAGUCCUUAAAAGUGUUCGUGAUCAAAUGAUAUGCUAUUAAUAGGACGAUAGCAAUAUCGAGGAUAGAUUGUUACGUGCCAUAUGAGUUGGUUGUCCUCUUAACCAAGGAGUGUGAAGAUAUUGUUAUGGUAUGCAGAUAAAAUGUAGGAGUACAUUCAUAUAGAACGUGAUCAUGUGCCAAGUACUCUGCUGUCAAGAGUAGCUCGUGAAGAGUAUAGGUAUAAGUGUUUCUCCGAUCUAAGACCACCAUGAUGAUUUAUAAGCAACUCAUUGUACUUUAGUAUCGGACCAUCUGAAUUUUUAACUCGAUGAUGGAAGGAUACUGGAUGCAGUCAAAUACUUAUGAAGUCGGUAUGUGAGUCAAUAUGGAAUUGAUCUCUCUGAAUUAGUAAGAGAUAUGUAUCAGUGUAUUUCAAUUUAGUAAAAUCUUUGCCAAGAUAAUCCAUAAGAUGGAUU